rnacentral:lncRNA from 1 species
UGGUGGGAGCCCAUUGUGUAACCUUGUGCUUAACAACUACCAGACUUAACGUUAAUCCACCGUGGAAUCUGUUGAUGAAGUAUUGAAAACUAAGGCUAAAUGAUAUUAUCUCAAUAACUUAUAUUUGUCUACACCGUUUCAGAGAAUGUUAUAACUUUGUGAUCUGUAAGGAAAAUAAAUUUAUUGGUAUCACUUUGUUUUUCUUUGUUCAAGCAAAAUGAUUUUUUACGUUAAACCAUUAAUUAAAUAUUCUGUUGCUUUGGAUUCGAACCAACGAGAAAUUAACGAUCGUGAUUGAGCACUAGAGUUGUCAUGAAUUUUGUAAAUAGUGAAAUUAAUCCAAUUUAAUGAGCCUAUGGUUGACUUAUUAUUAUGAUUUUUAUUGGAGAAACGGCGAUGUUUACAAUCUAAUGAAUGGUUCCGUUUUCGGCAUGUAUUUCCAGAGAUCUAACCAACUAAAUCAUUAAAUUUGUUUAGCCCAUGGUUGAGUUAUUACAAAUGAAAUUUUAUGUAUGAUAGCCUCAUGCAUAGCCAACUGCUCUAAUAAUGACAUGCAAGCUUUCACUGCUAAUAUAAUAGAAUGCUUUAUUUAACUCAUGGUUGAGUAGAUACUAUGGAUCUUCUACGUUCGUAAGCAAGUUUUUCCUUUCAUAUUAUAAACACAAUUAUUUAAUGCUUUCUACAAUUUUUCUUAUAUUUAAAAAGUUAUUCUCUUGAUGAUAAAUUGCAAACUGAAGAAUAAUAAGAUGGAUAAUUCAAAAUGACACAAAAAGUUAGUUGCUUCUCAUAUAAAAUAGCUUUUUUUGUUUGAAAUAAAGGGAAAAAGAAAGAAAUAAUAAUGUUAUUUUCUUUACUAUUUCGUGUUAAGACGUUCGACCCAUUACUAUAUAUAUAUAUAUCAUUAACGACCAAUAACUAUUCAAUUAAAUUGAUACAUUUACCAUUUUAAUAUUUAAUGGUUUGACCAGGUCUAUACAGGGAAUGACCAAUAACUAUUAAAUCCUCGUUUUAGAUCUAUACGUGCCCCCCCACCGUGGCACAGCGAUAUGUCUGCGGACUUACAACGCUAGAAUUCGGGCUUCGAUACCUGUGGUGGGCAGAACACAGACAGCCCAUUGUGUAACUUUGUGCGUAAUUACAAACAAACAAACAUCUAUAUGUUUUACCAGUCAGUGUAUUGUGAAUGGCCGAUAAGUAUCAAACUUUUGUUUCUAUCGCUCUAUUAAUUCUUUGCUGUAUUAUCGACAGCGAAACACUGAAUAUUUAAAUACAAUAAUGAUUAAUCAUAGUUAAUAUUUACAAAUUAUCAAAGUAUUGUAUCUGUACUUGGUGUAAAUGAUGCGUGUGUAGCCUUAUUAAAACACACGUAAAGAAAUAAAAAAUAAAAGCACUCUCGUUUUAGUUGUAUUCUUAUAUCACUAAGCCUAGUUCCUUUACUUGGAUAAAUAAAAUACUUUCCAAAAUAUGUAUUUUUAUAGUGAGAGCAUUAUUUGCAGAUAUCUCGUAACUAAAUUUAGGGGUGGGGGAGUAUUUUCAUAAAAAACAUAAGCCACUAAUCCUAGUUAUAUUACAUGUAAGAAACAAGGAAAACGUUUACUCAAUAAGAUAAGAGGAAUACAAGUUUUUAGCAAACCUAUAAGUACAGAUUUAGUUAUUUUAGAUAAGACUUUGAGUUGAAAUAUUAAAAUCUUUAUUUAAAUAUCUAAAUAGAUUAUAUUACGAAGUACAUAUAACACCAGGUCUUAAUGAUCAGGUCGUGUUUAUACAACAAAAACACUGUGUUAAAGAUUUUUACUAUAGCUCCAGAAUUCUUGUGCGUACGUGGCUUACCUCCAAGCCAUACUUAGCAUUUGUUAAUAAGGUAGAUUUAAUGUGCAUAUCUAUGAUUAAUAAUUGAAUAUAUAUAUAUAUUGAUACUUACUGCUGCUUAAAAUUAAAAUAUCUCGUCCUCUAUGGUGUUUUCUGGGUUAACCUUUGAUUUUAAAAUGGAAACUUUAUAUAUAAUUUAAUUAAACACAAUGCAAGAUUGUAUGCAUGAUGUUAUUGAUAAAAAACUGUUUCAAAGUUUUAGUUUACUCCAAAACUUCAGAGUGAAAUUUACAUAAAAUGAAAACCAAAUUCCCCAAAUAUAUAGCUUACAGAAUCAUGUAUAAUCCUACGAUAACAAUUAUAGCUAGGGAAAAUGUUGUGUAUAAUGUAAAGUACGUCUGUUUAUGUGUAUAAUUAUCUAUAUGAUUAUAUGUUUUGCAUAGUUCUGAAUUUCUAGGAAAAUAACAGAUCUAGUAAGUAAAAGUGUAGGUUGUACAGACCAAUGGAAGGUUUUAUAAAUCUCACUCAUACGUUUACGUACACAAGCUACAAAUAAUAUACUUUGCAUAUAUUGCUAUAAAACUAGUUAUGAUAGCUGAUUUCUAGUGCCCCUCUGGCCUUCUAGUUGCAUCACACAACAAUCAGAUGACACGCGAUAGAAUGUCUGGAGUAUUUGUCGUAGUUCCUUUCAUUUACUGGAGCUAGACGUGAAAGUGAAACGUUAUCAUGGGUCUCUGCAGACGGCAACGAAACGCGUGUUCAACUUAGAGUGUCGGAAUUAACGCGAGUUCGGUUACGAUUGUUAUUCACCUGCAGAACAGACGUUUUCAACCGGCUCUCUAAAUGACAGCUAUUAACCAAUUAUUUUCAAAUUACGAAUGCUUUCAAUUUUAUUUUCAAAAGACAUGAUUUAAUAAAAUCAUGUUACUUUUUUAUCCUCUAUAAUAAUAAAAACCCUCCAAUUGGAGAAAUCAAGUCUCCGAUUUUCCAAAUUGUUACUCGCUUAAUUAUCUAUAGAUAUACGGUGGUUUAAAAGGGAGCGUGCAGAAGAUUUCGCCAUUCUGUUUUGAUAAGACUCGAAGAAUAAAGUCUAGUGUUGUUCGAUAUGUGAUUGUACAGGUUAGGACUACGAUCUGGAUAAACCAAGUCAAGUUUUGGAGGCUCAAAAGCAGACGGCAGGUUGUAAAUAGACUAACAUUGAAGGCUAAAAGAAUACGGCAGGUUGUAAAUAGACUAACAUUGGAGGCUAAAAGAAUACGGUAUUCCUGAGGUUCUAAGGAUUCUUGGUGGUACCACGACAGCGGCCAGUGGUCAGGCGGGCUGAUCACUUGGAAGAGCUUUUCUCUACUGCAUACCUUCGAACUUGCACGGCGUGGCAUUUCCAAAUGACAUGUUUUAAAUCGCUGAAGACGUUCCAACAUCGAACCGAGGCCCCAGGUCCCGGCUUUCAGCUUUUGCCACAAACGUAAUAAUUAUGGGCCAUUUCGCUAGAGCGAUUAGCUGCAGUGCCGGCAGCACAAAGCAAGCCAAGUUGGGACGAAAUUACUAGUCUCCAGCCGCCGAUACGGCUUUCCUUCAUGUAGCCUAUUUUGUGAGAAUCUGCUAUUGUUUUAAGCAGUUUCCGCCUUAGAAGAACAUUAGCGCCGUCAACAGGAAGUGGUCUGGAGGAGCCCGAUAACCUUAUCUACUGAGGUUAGAGGUAUAAACUUAAACUUACAGUAGGUUUUAUUUCAGUGUAACAGAGAAAACAUCACGCUUUAAUCCGCUUUUGUUGAGGACCGAUCUUCCGGAUAUCACUCUGUUAUUAUUCAUCAUCUUGUUUUGAGUAUGAAAGUAUUCAGUAUACGACCAAAAGAAUUUAAAGUUUUUCAUUAUAUAUUUUGUUAAUAUUAUAUUUAACCUUUAGAUGUUAUGGAUAGUUAUUAUACAAAUCAUUAUUGUGUAUAAAGUUUCUCAUUUUUAUUUUAAAAAUCGCUCAUUAUAUGUGAACAACAACUGGAAACUAUACUGUUGAUGCUUUUGGCUUCUAACUUUGACAAUAACGUGUUGUAAUUUUCUAAUUUGUGAACCUUUUAAAUCUGUUAUAAAUAUAAAUACGACAUGCUGCUGAAUCAGCCAUAAGCUUUAGUGAUUAUAACACUAAAAUUUGGGGUUUGAUCCAUGUGUUGGGCAUGGUACUAUUGUCAAACCUUAUCUACGUUUCAAAACAAAAUGAUAAUAAUAACAUAAUAAAGAUAUUUUGACAUUUGAGACUAUCUGUAAUGAAAAUAGAACAAAAUACUUAGUGUGUUUUUGGCAGGUUGUAUUUUCAAGUAAAUAUGGUAGAGUUGGAAUAAAUAAAUAAUUAUAAUUAAA